CAGUCGCCGCGGUAAUACGGAGGAUCCGAGCGUUAUCCGGAAUUAUUGGGUUUAAAGGGUGCGUAGGCGGAUAGAUAAGUCAGUGGUGAAAGACGGUGGCUCAACCAUCGCAGUGCCGUUGAUACUGUUUAUCUUGAAUAUGGAUGAGGUAGGCGGAAUGUGGCAAGUAGCGGUGAAAUGCAUAGAUAUGCCACAGAACACCGAUUGCGAAGGCAGCUUACCAAGGCAAAAUUGACGCUGAGGCACGAAAGCGUGGGGAUCGAACAGGAUUAGAUACCCGUGUAGUCCCUGUCUCUUAUAC
rnacentral:rRNA from 1 species